UCAAUGAUGCUGCAUUAAAGGUAUAUUGGGUUGUAGUUGUAUAUAAUGCAGUUCCAGCUUCUUCUAUAAGCCAUUUUUAUUAGUACUCCAUUUGGGAUUUAAUUCUUGGUCAAUGUCUUAUUGGGAUAUGUAGCGGCCAAAAAUUUUGAGAAUUUCAGAAGGUUGGCAGAGAGUUUUUGUCUCUCUUGGUUGACGCAUCACUCUGAUCUAGGCUUCUCAUCCAGUGUUCCUCUUUGUGAUUUAUUUAUUUAAGCUUCUUGUGUGAAUUGCUGCUAAGAUCGAAAAGCUUGCAGUAGG
rnacentral:misc_RNA from 1 species